AGAAUCAACGCUGGCGGCGUGCCUAACACAUGCAAGUCGAACGAGAAAGUGGUAGCAAUACCAUGAGUACAGUGGCGCACGGGUGAGUAACACGUGACUAACCUACCCUGGAGUGGGGGAUAACUGAGGGAAACCUUAGCUAAUACCGCAUAAUACCUACGGGUCAAAGGAGCAAUUCGCUUCAGGAGGGGGUCGCGGCCGAUUAGUUAGUUGGCGGGGUAAUGGCCCACCAAGACAGUGAUCGGUAUCCGGCCUGAGAGGGCGCACGGACACACUGGAACUGAAACACGGUCCAGACUCCUACGGGAGGCAGCAGUGGGGAAUUUUGCGCAAUGGGGGAAACCCUGACGCAGCAACGCCGCGUGGAGGAUGAAGUCCUUCGGGACGUAAACUCCUUUCGAUCGGGACGAUAAUGACGGUACCGGAAGAAGAAGCCCCGGCUAACGUUCGCGCCAGCAGCCGC
rnacentral:rRNA from 1 species